GACGAACGCUGGCGGCGUGCUUAACACAUGCAAGUCGAACGGUAAGGCCCUUCGGGGUACACGAGUGGCGAACGGGUGAGUAACACGUGGGUGAUCUGCCCUGCACUUCGGGAUAAGCCUGGGAAACUGGGUCUAAUACCGGAUAGGACUCCGGACUGCAUGGUCUGGGGUGGAAAGCUUUUGCGGUGUGGGAUGGGCCCGCGGCCUAUCAGCGUGUUGGUGGGGUGAUGGCCUACCAAGGCGACGACGGGUAGCUGGCCUGAGAGGGUGACCGGCCACACUGGGACUGGGAUACGGCCCAGACUCCUACGGGAGGCAGCAGUGGGGAAUAUUGCACAAUGGGCGCAAGCCUGAUGCAGCGACGCCGCGUGAGGGAUGACGGCCUUCGGGUUGUAAACCUCUUUCAGCAUCGACGAAGCGAAAGUGACGGUAGGUGCAGAAGAAGGACCGGCCAACUACGUGCCAGCCGCCGCAGUAA
rnacentral:rRNA from 1 species